AGCUGUGUCCGGAAGAUGACGGUGAGCAUUGAGAAACCGAUGGCACCAGCCAGUCCCAGGUCGGGGUUGAAUAGCACGGUGAGGAUGAAGAGCAGGGAUGUCCAUGAAUUGCUUAAUCAUGCCAUGGAGGUUGACAAAGAUGAUGGCGGCCAGCACUGCCUGCAAAAUCAAUGCGAAGGCUCCACUGUAUCUCACAGGGCUGAUGCCAAAGGUGUAUUUGAGCUGGGACACGAUGACGUGGAUGGCAGCUCCUGUGGUGUAACCUCGGACCAGCGGCUCAGACAGACAUGAAGGUGACAGCUGCAGCCACUCGGACCCUCUCUGCAUCCCGGGAGAUGAUGUCGACUAUACUGGAGUUGGUCGCGUUGUCCCAUAUCAUAAAGUUGGAGUCUGGGGCUAAUCGCUCUAUCACCCCUCCUAUCAUCACACUCAUCACCGCCUUCUUGCCACGACUGAUGGGAUCCUAUGUGAUACAUUAUCUUCUGCCAAAGUCCAGACAGACACAUCCAAUCACAGAGUUUAACAUUUUGUUUUGUUUACCGCUAACAGCGUGUGUAAGCUUACGGUGUUGAGAAAACUGAAAACACAUCUGCAGCUUAAAUCUGGAUUCUGGGAACAACAUUCGGAUGAAUACAAAGAAGAUGGAUAUUAAGUUUGCAGCUGUGUUUUGUUCACAAAUUCAUCAUCAAAGCGUUUGGAAUUUGCUACCACUCUGACUGGCUUCUUCUCCAUGGAACUGGAGGCUCAGGGGUAUUGUAGUAUUUAUACCAGUCCGCCAUUCCAAACUGAUGACAAAACAUGAUUUCUCAAGAACAAAAUUGAAAUGUGUCUUGUAUGACCGUUAUACGGGAAUGUCGAAUGGUUGAAAACACUGCUCAUUUCUAUUAGAUUCAGAAUCUGAUUAAAGUUGUCAGGUUUUGAGGUCAUGCUGACAGAGAGACGCCACUGUCAAUCAAAUCUGAUCAGACCACACUUAGACAGUCUUUAAAGAGCAGAUUAGCUGAGUUGUUUUAGAGUGUUAAACUCUUAAUAAAUAAUGGCUGAGGAUUGUUUUCCUUCUUAUUUGCUCAUGAAUAUUAUAAAUUAUAAAGAAAUAGGUGCUUUAAAAACAAGCACUUCAAAGGUUUUUGAAAAGGUUUGGAAUGACUUCCCCUGUAGUGAUCAAUAGAAGGGAAUAUAUCAUCCUAAAAGCCUUGAGCUUCAGCUAAAGAUCAUAUACUGUAUGUCUAUGCUUAAAACCUGAACCUUAGAUUAGAGAGAAUGAAAGAAUAUUCUUUCAGUCUGUCAGUAAUCCUGCUAUAUCGCUUGUUCUUCUUUGAAGUAAUAUCCACAUAACCUUAUGGUGGAUUAAUCCCCACCUUGUCUAAAUGAC